rnacentral:rRNA from 1 species
UUGGCGGCGAGUGGCGAACGGGUGAGUAAUAUAUCGGAACGUACCCAGUAGCGGGGGAUAACUACUCGAAAGAGUAGCUAAUACCGCAUACGCCCUACGGGGGAAAGCAGGGGAUCUUCGGACCUUGCACUAUUGGAUGAGCCUAUGUCUGAUUAGCUAGUUGGUGGGGUAAAAGCCUACCAAGGCGACGAUCAGUAGCUGGUCUGAGAGGACGACCAGCCACACUGGGACUGAGACACGGCCCAGACUCC